rnacentral:rRNA from 1 species
CCUACGGGUGGCUGCAGUCGAGAAUCUUCCGCAAUGGGCGAAAGCCUGACGGAGCGACGCCGCGUGCGGGACGAAGGCCUUCGGGUUGUAAACCGCUGUCGUAGGGGAGCAAAUUUUGAGCGAUCCUAGGAGGAAGCACCGGCUAAACUCGUGCCAGCAGCCGCGGUAAUACGAGUGGUGCAAACGUUAUUCGGAAUCACUGGGCUUAAAGGGUGCGUAGGCUGCUGUAAAGGUCUGAUGUGAAAUACCACGGCUCAACCGUGGAACGGCAUUGG